rnacentral:rRNA from 1 species
GAUGAACGCUGGCGGCGUGCCUAAUACAUGCAAGUCGAGCGAACGGACGAGAAGCUUGCUUCUCUGAUGUUAGCGGCGGACGGGUGAGUAACACGUGGAUAACCUACCUAUAAGACUGGGAUAACUUCGGGAAACCGGAGCUAAUACCGGAUAAUAUUUUGAACCGCAUGGUUCAAAAGUGAAAGACGGUCUUGCUGUCACUUAUAGAUGGAUCCGCGCUGCAUUAGCUAGUUGGUAAGGUAACGGCUUACCAAGGCAACGAUGCAUGGCCGACCUGAGAGGGUGAUCGGCCACACUGGAACUGAGACACGGUCCAGACUCCUACGGGAGGCAGCAGUAGGGAAUCUUCCGCAAUGGGCGAAAGCCUGACGGAGCAACGCCGCGUGAGUGAUGAAGGUCUUCGGAUCGUAAAACUCUGUUAUUAGGGAAGAACAUAUGUGUAAGUAACUGUGCACAUCUUGACGGUACCUAAUCAGAAAGCCACGGCUAACUACGUGCCAGCAGCCGCGGUAAUACGUAGGUGGCAAGCGUUAUCCGGAAUUAUUGGGCGUAAAGCGCGCGUAGGCGGUUUUUUAAGUCUGAUGUGAAAGCCCACGGCUCAACCGUGGAGGGUCAUUGGAAACUGGAAAACUUGAGUGCAGAAGAGGAAAGUGGAAUUCCAUGUGUAGCGGUGAAAUGCGCAGAGAUAUGGAGGAACACCAGUGGCGAAGGCGACUUUCUGGUCUGUAACUGACGCUGAUGUGCGAAAGCGUGGGGAUCAAACAGGAUUAGAUACCCUGGUAGUCCACGCCGUAAACGAUGAGUGCUAAGUGUUAGGGGGUUUCCGCCCCUUAGUGCUGCAGCUAACGCAUUAAGCACUCCGCCUGGGGAGUACGACCGCAAGGUUGAAACUCAAAGGAAUUGACGGGGACCCGCACAAGCGGUGGAGCAUGUGGUUUAAUUCGAAGCAACGCGAAGAACCUUACCAAAUCUUGACAUCCUUUGACAACUCUAGAGAUAGAGCCUUCCCCUUCGGGGGGGCAAAGUGACAGGUGGUGCAUGGUUGUCGUCAGCUCGUGUCGUGAGAUGUUGGGUUAAGUCCCGCAACGAGCGCAACCCUUAAGCUUAGUUGCCAUCAUUAAGUUGGGCACUCUAAGUUGACUGCCGGUGACAAACCGGAGGAAGGUGGGGAUGACGUCAAAUCAUCAUGCCCCUUAUGAUUUGGGCUACACACGUGCUACAAUGGACAAUACAAAGGGCAGCGAAACCGCGAGGUCAAGCAAAUCCCAUAAAGUUGUUCUCAGUUCGGAUUGUAGUCUGCAGCUCGACUACAUGAAGCUGGAAUCGCUAGUAAUCGUAGAUCAGCAUGCUACGGUGAAUACGUUCCCGGGUCU